GACGAACGCUGGCGGCGUGCCUAAUACAUGCAAGUAGAACGCAGUUGCGAACGGGUGAGUAACGCGUAGGUAACGGCCUCAUAGCGGGGGAUAACUAUUGGAAACGAUAGCUAAUACCGCAUACAGUGAGAUGGACCUGCGUUGUAUUAGCUAGUUGGUGAGGUAAAGGCUCACCAAGGCGACGAUCCAUAGCCGACCUGAGAGGGUGAGCGGCCCAACUGGGACUGAGACACGGCCCCGACUCCUAAGGGGGGCAGCAGGAGGGAAUCUUUGGCAAUGGAGCGAAGUCUGACCGGGCAACGCCGCGGGAUUUAAGAAGGUUUUCGGAUCGGAAAGCUCUGUUGUUAGAGAAGCGGUAACUAAACAGAAAGGGACGGCUAACUACGUGCCAGCAGCCGCGGUAAUUC
rnacentral:rRNA from 1 species